rnacentral:rRNA from 1 species
UACGAAGGGGGCUAGCGUUGCUCGGAAUCACUGGGCGUAAAGGGCGCGUAGGCGGCCAUUCAAGUCGGGGGUGAAAGCCUGUGGCUCAACCACAGAAUUGCCUUUGAUACUGUUUGGCUUGAGUAUGGCAGAGGUUGGUGGAACUGCGAGUGUAGAGGUGAAAUUCGUAGAUAUUCGCAAGAACACCAGUGGCGAAGGCGGCCAACUGGGCCAUUACUGACGCUGAGGCGCGAAAGCGUGGGGGAGCAAACAGG